rnacentral:lncRNA from 1 species
ACCAGCUAAUUUCUCUCUCUUUGUGUCUCUCUGGUGUGUGUGUGUGUGUGUGUGUGUGUGUGUGUGUGUAUGCCAGAGGUUGCCUGCUGAGUUCCAGUUCCAAACAGUUGUGAGUUGCCUGUGAGUCCUGGCACCCAAACCCGGUCCUCUCCAGGAACAGUAUGGUGCUCUGCCUGAUGUCUCCAGGUUUCUGUUUCUGUCUCUCCCCUGCUUGAUACUAACAGGCUUUCCAUGGCAUUGGAAGACGAGACACAUGGUCAGGGCACCAAGGGAUGUUUGUAGUGGUCAAGGCAGCAGGCUGAGAGUCUCAGAAUGGGGGAUUGUUUGCAGAAGGAGCUGCCACACUGUGUGAGGGAGACACAGUAGCUCAAAGGGCUUUGUCACUAGCUGACCAGCUCUCUAGUCACUGCAUAAGAGAGGAGAGAAGGGGGAAGCUAUUAUCACCACGUCCCAUUCCCGAGACUCCUUUCUAGGAGGCCAGUUGAUCAUUAACUUCAUGUAUAAUAGGGUUGCACAGAUAGAUCCAUCCGUGGGGGGGGCGAGGCGGGGGCUGGAGCCCAAGGCCUCUUACAGGCUGGGCAAACACUCUUACUACACUCUCAGCCCAGGACUGCUGCGCUCUCCAGAUGAUUUGGCCCCAGAUACAUAAGGCUCAAAAUUAAAAUCACCGCAUCCGCAUGUGGGAAACACAUAAGGAAAAAGUAGAACAGUUUUUUUGUAUUAAAAAAAAAAAUACAGGAGCUGGAGUGAUGGCUCAGUAGCUAAGAGUACUGGCUGCUCUUCCAGAGGACCCAGGGUCAGUUCCCAUCAUUCAUAAGGCAGUAACAAGUGUCUGUAACUCCAGAAUCUGACACCCUUACACAGGAAACUCACCGAUGCACAUAAAAUAAAAAUAAAUUGUUAAAAAACAAAAGCACAACACAAAUGGACUAGAAAUGGAGCUCUGUGGAAGAGUGCUUAUGGAGCAUGAAUGAGGCCCUAGGUUCAAUCACCAGCACUUCAUAAACCCUGUGGUGUUACACCCCUGCAAUCCCAGCACUCCAGAGAGGCACAGGCAGCAGGAUUAGAAAUUCAAGGUCAUCCUUGACUACAUACUGAGUUCAAGGAUGGACUAGGCUACCUGAGAUUCUUGGGGAAAAAAACAAAACAAAAAACAACAACAACAACAAAAAAAAACCUAAAACACUGCAGAAAAUGGAACAUGGUGAUGUCUCAGACCUAUAAUCCCAGCAUCUGAACGAAAAGAAUUGCUGAGUAUGAGGCUAGAUUGGAUCACCUAAAUUCCAGGCUAGCUUAGACUAGAGUGAGAACCUGUCUCAACAAAACAAAACAAAAGCAGCCUGUGGUGGUGGAACACUUGGAAGGUAGAAGCAAGCAGGAAGCCAGCCUGGUCUACAAAGUGAGUUCCAGGAUAGCCAGGACCAUCUCGGAAAAACAAAACACAAACAAACAAACAAACAAAAAAAAAAACACAUACACAAAAACAUUUUAGAUAUGGAACCAACAAAUAAAAUUUAAAUGCUUCCAAUUUAAAGAUAUAAAACUUUCAUUAAAAUGCUUUCAAUGUCCAUUAUGCAACCUUCUUUUAUAAAAUCUCUGUGCUGUUAUGCCACUGCACACAUGAAAGUCAGAAGACAGAUUUCAGGAGUCACUUCUGCCCUUUCACUGUGGGCUCCAGGAAUCGAACUCAGGUCAUCAGGCUGGCACAGCAGGAACUUUCAAGACAGAACCAAGUCGCCAACCCCAGUGUGUGUGUAA